CGGCGCCGCCUUCCUCCUCUUCAACUUGGACGACGAGGAGGAUGAUGCUGAUGAGGAGAGCGACUUCUUGACGCCCCCGCCGCCGCCGCCGAGGAACGGCACGAUGGCGCGGGACGAGAAGGACGCCGCGACCCCGUCCCGCGGGCGCAGGCGGCGCGCCGCCCGCGACAGGCGCCGCGCGCACGUGCCCACCAGCGCCGCCACCGCCUGGGCGAGGCUCAUCCCCAUCGCCCGCCGUCUCCCUGCCCUGCUCUGCUCUGUAGUCUGUACUUGGAAGGCUUGUCGAGCGCGCUUUGAUUCGCUUCCCUUUCCCUGCGGCUGCUUG
rnacentral:misc_RNA from 1 species